UACGUAGGGCGCAAGCGUUGUCCGGAAUUAUUGGGCGUAAAGAGCUCGUAGGCGGCUUGUCACGUCGAUUGUGAAAGCCCGAGGCUUAACCUCGGGUCUGCAGUCGAUACGGGCUAGCUAGAGUGUGGUAGGGGAGAUCGGAAUUCCUGGUGUAGCGGUGAAAUGCGCAGAUAUCAGGAGGAACACCGGUGGCGAAGGCGGAUCUCUGGGCCACUACUGACGCUGAGGUGCGAAAGCGUGGGGAGCAAACAGG
rnacentral:rRNA from 1 species